ACUGAGAGUUUGAUCCUAGCUCAGAAUUAACGCUGAUGGCAUGCCUAAUACAUGCAAGUCGAGCGGACUCGCAAGAGUUAGCGGCGAACGGGUGAGUAAUACAUAUUUAACAUACCCCCCAAAAGUGCAUAGCUACCCGAAAGGGUAAUUAAUACACUAUAGGAGGCUCCGACACAAGUCGGAGUCUUUAAAGGCCUUGGCCGAUGAGGGAUUGGAAUAUGCUCUAUUAGCUUGUUGGCGGGAUAAAAGCCCACCAAGGCAAUGAUAGAUAGCUGGUCUAAGAGGAUGAACAGCCACAAUGGGAUUGAGAUACGGCCCAUAUUCCUACGGGAAGCAGCAGUAGGGAAUCUUCCACAAUGGGCGAAAGCCUGAUGGAGCGAUGCCAUGUGAACGAUGAAGGUCUUUUUGAUUGUAAAGUUCUUUUAUAGGAGAAAAUAAUGAUUGUAUCCUAUGAAUAAGUGACAGCAAACUAUGUGCCAGCAGCUGCGGUAAUACAUAGGUCGCGAGCGUUAUUCGGAUUUAUUGGGCGUAAAGCAAGCGCAGGCGGACGGACAAGUUUUGUGUUAAAAGCAGUUGCUCAACAAUUGUUUGCGCUGAAUACUGUCCGUCUAGAAUACGGUAGGAAGUUUUGGAAUUUAAUAUGGAGCGGUGGAAUGUGUAGAUAUAUUAAAGAACACCAGAGGCGAAGGCGAAAACUUAGGCCGUUAUUGACGCUUAGGCUUGAAAGUGUGGGGAGCAAAUGGGAUUAGAUACCCCAGUAGUCCACACCGUAAACGAUGGAUAUUAGAUGUUGGGACUUGCGUCUCAGCGUUGUAGCUUACGUGUUAAAUAUCCCGCCUGGGUAGUACAUAUGCAAAUAUGAAACUCAAAGGAAUUGACGGGGAUCUGAACAAGUGGUGGAACAUGUUGCUUAAUUCGAUAAUACACGAAAAACCUUACCAAGGUUUGACAUCCCCAGCAAAGCUAUAGAAAUAUAGUGGAGGUUAUCUGGGUGACAGGUGGUGCAUGGCUGUCGUCAGCUCGUGUCAUGAGAUGUUUGGUUAAGUCCCGCAACGAGCGCAACCCCACUCUUUAGUUGUUUUUCUAAAGAGACUGAACAGUAAUGUAUAGGAAGGUUGGGAUCACGUCAAGUCAUCAUGCCCCUUAUACCUUGGGCCGCAAACGUGUUACAAUGUUGAGUACAACGUGCUGCAAACCAGCGAUGGUAAGCAAAUCACUAAAAACUCAUCUCAGUCCGGAUAAAAGGCUGCAAUUCGCCUUUUUGAAGUUGGAAUCACUAGUAAUCCCGUGUCAGCUAUAUCGGGGUGAAUACGUUCCCAGGUCUUGUACACACCGCCCGUCAAACUAUGAGAGGGAGGGCCAUUCAAAAACGUAUUAAUUUGCGUCUAGAGUGAAUCUCCUGAUUGGAGUUAAGUCGUAACAAGGUACCCGUACGAGAACGUGCGGGUGGAUAAUCUUCUU
rnacentral:rRNA from 1 species